UUUUAAGUUAAGUUUUAUAAUUCUAAGGCUAAAAACAAAAUUUACAAUUUACAGUUAUAUGAGUUAAUAAAUAAUUUUGUUGCUUAAGCUAAGCAAACAACUAACAAAACCGGGGUAGAAUCCGAGUAUGCUAAUUUUUAUAGGUAUUAAAAGUAAACCUAAAUUGUGUGGCAGUUAUUUAUUCUUUUUAGAGAAUUUUGGUUUAUAAUUUGAUAACCCACAAUAUUAUUUACUGAAUUUUAGCUUAUGUGUGGUUGUCAAGAAAUAAAAGUCAUUUUAAAUCUUCCCCAAAUAACAUAUAGUUUAAUUCAGGAAAACUGAAAUGCGGUGAGAUUUUAAGUUAAAUAAAUAAAAAGUAUUUAAUAGUAGGAAAAAAAAAAUCGAAUAAGUUAUAAAUAAGGUUCAUAUUGUCCGUCACUCUCCUUA
rnacentral:rRNA from 1 species